CGUCAUACUACAAAAUUUUUCCAGAGGAAACGAAAUCAUUUUGAAAAGGAAACUGACAUUGCGAUUCUAGGGUUUCAUCUUCGGCCGUUACAAUAAUUUUUUUUGAAUUGCAUACACAACACUACGUAAAUUGUGGUGUUUGAAGCGAUUGUUCACGCACAAAUUCAAAACCAUUUCAUUUAAGAGUAGAUGAUAUAAUGG